rnacentral:tRNA from 1 species
GGUUUGGUGGUCUAGUGGUAUGAUUCUCGCUUAGGGAUAACCCUAAGUCUACGACUUGCGAGAGGUCCCGGGUUCAAUCCCCGGCCAAACCC